GCUAAACGCGAAGAACCUUACCAAGGCUUGACAUAUACGGUCUAUCCCUAGAGAUAGGGAGUGCUUCGGCGCCGUAUACAGGUGGUGCAUGGUUGUCGUCAGCUCGUGUCGUGAGAUGUUGGGUUAAGUCCCGCAACGAGCGCAACCCUCGUUCUAUGUUGCCAGCACGUAAUGGUGGGAACUCAUGGGAUACUGCCGGGGUCAACUCGGAGGAAGGUGGGGAUGACGUCAAAUCAUCAUGCCCCUUAUGUCUUGGGCUUCACGCAUGCUACAAUGGCCGGUACAAAGGGCUGCAAUACCGUGAGGUGGAGCGAAUCCCAAAAAGCCGGUCCCAGUUCGGAUUGAGGUCUGCAACUCGACCUCAUGAAGUCGGAGUCGCUAGUAAUCGCAGAUCAGCAACGCUGCGGUGAAUACGUUCCCGGGUCUUGUACACACCG
rnacentral:rRNA from 1 species